UACAGAGGGGGCAAGCGUUAUUCGGAAUUAUUGGGCGUAAAGGGCGCGUAGGCGGCCUGGCAAGUGGAAGGUGAAAUCCCUCGGCUUAACCGAGGAACUGCCCUCCAAACUGCUUGGCUUGAGUCCGGGAGAGGUGAGUGGAAUUCCCAGUGUAGCGGUGAAAUGCGUAGAUAUUGGGAGGAACACCAGUGGCGAAGGCGGCUCACUGGACCGGAACCGACGCUGAGGCGCGAAAGCGUGGGGAGCAAACGGG
rnacentral:rRNA from 1 species